UGGGGAAUAUUGCACAAUGGAGGGAACUCUGAUGCAGCGACGCCGCGUGAACGAAGAAGGCUUUCGAGUCGUAAAGUUCUUUUAUAUGGGAAGAUAAUGACGGUACCAUAAGAAGAAGCCCCGGCUAACUACGUGCCAGCAGCCGCGGUAAUACGUAGGGGGCUAGCGUUUUCCGGAAUCACUGGGCGUAAAGGGUUCGCAGGCGGAAAUGCAAGUCAGGUGUAAAAGGCAGGAGCUUAACUACUGUAAGCAUUUGAAACUGCAUAUCUUGAGAAGAGGAGAGGUAAGUGGAAUUUUUAGUGUAGCGGUGAAAUGCGUAGAUAUUAAAAAGAAUACCGGUGGCGAAGGCGACUUACUGGGCUCAUUCUGACGCUGAGGAACGAAAGCGUGGGUAGCAAACAGG
rnacentral:rRNA from 1 species